ensembl:rRNA 5S_rRNA 5S ribosomal RNA
GUCUAUGGCCAUACCACUCUGAACGCACCCCAUCUCGUCUGAUCUUGGAAGCUAAGCAGGGUCAGGUCUAAUUAGUACUUGGAUGGGAGAACAAUUAGAGAAAGCAGCUGAAGAAC